ACGAACGCUGGCGGCGUGCUUCACACAUGCAAGUCGAACGGAAAGGCCCUGCUUGCAGGGUACUCGAGUGGCGAACGGGUGAGUAACACGUGGGUGAUCUGCCCUGCACUUCGGGAUAAGCCUGGGAAACUGGGUCUAAUACCGGAUAGGAGCCGUUUUUAGUGUGAUGGUUGGAAAGUUUUUUCGGUGUAGGAUGAGCUCGCGGCCUAUCAGCUUGUUGGUGGGGUAAUGGCCUACCAAGGCGGCGACGGGUAGCCGGCCUGAGAGGGUGGACGGCCACAUUGGGACUGAGAUACGGCCCAGACUCCUACGGGAGGCAGCAGUGGGGAAUAUUGCACAAUGGGCGCAAGCCUGAUGCAGCGACGCCGCGUGGGGGAUGACGGCCUUCGGGUUGUAAACUCCUUUCGCUAGGGACGAAGCUUUUUGUGACGGUACCUAGAUAAGAAGCACCGGCUAACUACGUG
rnacentral:rRNA from 1 species